UACGUAGGCAGCAAGCGUUGUUCGGAAUUACUGGGCGUAAAGAGUUCGUAGGCGGUGCGGCAAGUUUGGUGUGAAAUCUCCCGGCUCAACUGGGAGGGUGCGCCGAAUACUGCCGUGCUAGAGUAUAGGAGAGGUAAGCGGAAUUCCUGGUGUAGCGGUGAAAUGCGUAGAUAUCAGGAGGAACACCUGUGGUGUAGACGGCUUACUGGACUAUAACUGACGCUGAGGAACGAAAGCGUGGGUAGCAAAC
rnacentral:rRNA from 1 species